rnacentral:lncRNA from 13 species
CCCGGCUGGGACGGGACGGGACGCCAGUGGAGGCUUGAACUCUGGGGCCAGGCCGGGGCCCCGAGGGCCCCUGGGUGGUCCCCGCUUCCCGUUCUCUGCGGGCUUCGCGCCGGCACCGAGGCUGGGGCCACGGCGUCCGGCGGGCAGGGGCCCCGAGGGGCCAGUGAAGGGUGGGUCCUCCCCGGCUGGGCCCAGGAGCCGCCCUCCCCGCGCUGGCUCCGGGCCCCGUCCCCUUCGCCCGCCCGGCGUCUCGCGUGCCCUGGCCUGGGGCGGGGCGUUCGGGGCCCCGCGUGCUGCAGGGCGAGGCCGCCCUUCGCCGGGGCUGGUUCCGGGCCCUUCCGCUCCGCGCGGUUUUCCCCGUGCUUCCCGUGGAGCCUGCCUCGUAGUGCGUCCUCGCCGGAGCGUUUCUUCCGCGGCGCUGAGCGCCCGCCCCGGCCUGGGGCGAGGGCAGCCGGACGCCCCCAGCGAGGGCGCUGCUCGACCCAUCUCAGUCGCCGCGCCUGGUGCCGCUUCCCCGGGACCCUCGCCGGGUUGGGAGGCGCCUCCGGGUGUCUGCGGGGAUGGGGGGCUGCGGGAGGAGGGUGGGACGGCAGCAGGGGGCCCUGAGCCGGAGAAAAGUCCUCGGACACCCCAGGGCCCGGCGGCUCGCCUCGGACCGUCCUCCACAGACGGGAAUCACGCCCCAAAGCCCGGGGCCCGCCCUCCUCCCGCCUCCCGCGCGCGCCAGGGGCGGCCGGGCCACCGGGCUGUCCUCACGUGGCGGCGUCGCAGGCCCCCGGGCGCCCCGAGCCGGCGCGGAGACAGGGCUUCCGAUGGACAAAACCCACCCGGGGAACGUUCUGGGCCGUCCACGCCACGCGCAGGGCGGCCGUCAGCUGGGGUUGGAGGUGGGUCGGGAAGAGAGGUGUCCUUUUGUCUCCAAAUGUCGCUUCUGUCAUUUAAAGACAACCUUAAAAUAGAAAAAAAAAAAAAAAAAAAGCCUGGGCUGGAGUGAGCGUCCUCGAGCUACAAACGUUGAGUCCGCAGAGAAGGGAAGUCGGGGCCACACCCAACUCGGGAAUGGGGCCGCCCCGCGGGCGAGUGUGGAGCGGGGUGGGGGACGCACUUGGCGAGUCAGUGCUUUGGACGGGCCUGGCGGUUGGGGGGGGAAGCAGGAUGAAGGAGGGGAGGGAGGCCGAGGCGGUGGGAAUGCAAG